rnacentral:lncRNA from 10 species
UAUAGGUGCAUGCCACUAAUUUUUGUAUUUUUUGUAUAGACAGGAUUGCCCUAUGUCGUCCAUGCUGGUCUGGAACUCCUGGGCUCAAGAGAUCCUCUCACCUUGGCCUCCCAAAGUGCUGAGAUUACAGAGCUAGAGUCUCAUGAUGUCGUCCAGGCUGGUAUCGAACUCGGCUUCAAGCAGUCCUCUCACCUCAGCCUCUCGAGUAGCUGGAAUUACAGUUGAGAGCCACUGCAUCCAGCUUUGCUCUUUC